AAGAUUGUAGGGAUGGAAGCCAAAGACCUGGCUACAGAUGGCAAAGGUACCAAGUUGGAUGUGAUGUCCAAUAGCCGGAAUGUAAACUGGGAUACUGCGGCUGUUGUGCGGGAUGCAAAGGAUGCACAUUGGGAUGGCAAAGUGAUAACCGCAACGGCCAUUGCAACAGAAUUGGACUUUAAAACUGCAGAUUCUGAGGUCAAAGAGUCUGAUGGAACUAAGAAUAUUGCUGGUUCAGAGAUCACAGCUACGGAUCACAGGCACGCAAGCCCAGAAGUCAAGGAUAUGAUGCCCAAUUCCAGGAAAGAGGGCCAGGAUGCCCAGACAAGCAGAUUGGAUGCUAAAGAUGAUAAUCAGCAUAGCAAAAUGGAAGCUCUUGAUGCCAAGGUGGAGGGUACCAAAGAGAGCAACAAGGAAGGUGAUGGUGACAUCAUUUCGCUUGACUGUGAAAUUCUUGGGUUUGGUCCUGAUAUUGAUUUCCUGGGCCCAGAUGCUGAGCUCUACAUGCAUUUCAUGCGGAGCCACCACUGUUAUGAUGCCAUUCCUACCAGCUCCAAACUGGUUGUGUUUGAAACCACCUUACAGAUUAAGAAAGCCUUCCUUGCUAUGGUGGCCAAUGGGGUCCGAGCUGCUCCUCUUUGGGACAGCAAGAAGCAGUGCUUUGUGGGUAUGCUGACGAUCACUGACUUCAUUAAUAUCCUACAUCGCUACUAUCGAUCACCUCUGGUUCAGAUAUACGAGGUUGAGGAACACAAAAUUGAAACCUGGAGAGAGGUAUAUCUUCAAGGUUCCUUCAAACCCUUAGUCUGCAUCUCACCAAAUGAUAGCCUAUUUGAUGCUGUUUAUUCCUUGAUAAAGAACAAGAUCCAUCGGCUGCCUGUUAUUGAGCCCAUCUCAGGGAAUGUCCUCUACAUCCUGACACACAAACGUAUCCUCAAAUUCCUGCAUAUUUUUGGAGCCUUGAUUCCAAAGCCAAGGUUCUUGCAGAAGACCAUCCAAGAGUUGGGCAUUGGCACCUUCCGUGAUGUUGCCAUGGUGUUGGAGUCAGCCCCUGUCUACACCGCCCUGGAGAUCUUUGUGGACCGCAGGGUCUCAGCACUGCCUGUCAUUAAUGAAGCAGGGAGAGUUGUUGGCCUGUACUCCCGCUUUGAUGUGAUUCACUUGGCUGCCCAGAAGUCCUACAACAACCUGGACAUUAGUGUGGGGGAAGCCCUGAAGCAGCGCUCAAUCUGCCUCGAGGGGGUACUCACAUGCCACCCUUAUGAGACUAUGGAAGAUAUCAUUGAUCGCAUUGCCAAAGAGCAGGUCCAUCGCCUAGUUCUAGUGGAUGAGAAGAAUGCCCCACGGGGGAUCGUGUCCCUCUCUGACAUUCUCCAGGCCCUGGUGCUCACGCCUGCAGGUAUCGAUGCCCUAAACUCUUAACCUGCUCGACGCUCCAUCCUUCCUUCAUUUGUACCCUCCAUUUCCUCCACUUCUCUUCAGCUCAGGCAUCGACCGCCAUUCUCUCUGAGGCAGAUGUGGAAGACUACUUGCUAUCUAGUUCCACUGCCGCCAUGACAAGUAGGAAUAAGGGAUCUCCAGCUUCUGGAAUGGAAGACAUGUCCUCCUGCCAGGCAAGGAUAGUGCUGAACUCCUGCUUUGCCUUUGGCCUUCUCCGAUUCAGAAAGGGGAAGGAAAUGAUGAGGAAGGAUGUGGACUUCCAAACUGUCAAUAGUGCUCAGGGCCUUAACCUUCCACAAUGCUGUUCAAGCAGCCUUUCUACAGCCGGCAAGAAAAGCAGGCCCCUGUUGAACACUGCAGCAGCUGCUCAUCUCCUCCCCCAAGCCCUACAAACAAUGUGCACGUGCAGAAAUCCAAGAUGCCGCAAGGCAGCCCAAAGCGUUUUCUGUGCCAGCUCGCUGAUACUUAAUAGACACUCAAAGGCUCUUUAAACUCACAAAGGGAAAGAAG